rnacentral:rRNA from 1 species
UACGGGGGGGGGCAAGCGUUGUUCGGAAUUACUGGGCGUAAAGGGCUCGUAGGUGGCCAACUAAGUCAGACGUGAAAUCCCUCGGCUUAACCGGGGAACUGCGUCUGAUACUGGAUGGCUUGAGAUUGGGAGAGGGAUGCGGAAUUCCAGGUGUAGCGGUGAAAUGCGUAGAUAUCUGGAGGAACACCGGUGGCGAAGGCGGCAUCCUGGACCGACACUGACGCUGAGGAGCGAAAGCCAGGGGAGCAAACGGG